rnacentral:tRNA from 1 species
AUUUAUGUAGUUUAAAAAAAACAUUACAUUUUCACUGUAAAGAUAAAAUUAUUUUUCAUAAAUA